rnacentral:rRNA from 1 species
UACGAAGGGGGCUAGCGUUGCUCGGAAUCACUGGGCGUAAAGGGUGCGUAGGCGGGUCUUUAAGUCAGGGGUGAAAUCCUGGAGCUCAACUCCAGAACUGCCUUUGAUACUGAGGAUCUUGAGCUCGGGAGAGGUGAGUGGAACUGCGAGUGUAGAGGUGAAAUUCGUAGAUAUUCGCAAGAACACCAGUGGCGAAGGCGGCUCACUGGCCCGAUACUGACGCUGAGGCACGAAAGCGUGGGGAGCAAACAGG